AGCAGCCGCGGUAAUUCCAGCUCCAAUAGCGUAUAUUAAAGUUGUUGCAGUUAAAAAGCUCGUAGUUGAACCUUAGGCCCGUGCGGGUGGUCCGUCCUCUGGGCGAGCACUGCCUCGUCGCGGGUCUCACCUUCUGGCGAGCGUGGAUGCCAUUCACUUGGUGUCUGCGGGAACCAGGACCUUUACCUUGAAAAAAUUAGAGUGCUCAAAGCGGGCUCGUACGCUUGAAUACAUUAGCAUGGAAUAAUGAAAUAGGACGACGGUUCUAUUUUGUUGGUUUCCGGGACAGUCGUAAUGAUUAAUAGGGAUAGUUGGGGGCAUUCGUAUUCAAUUGUCAGAGGUGAAAUUCUUGGAUUUAUUGAAGACGGACUACUGCGAAAGCAUUUGCCAAGGAUGUUUUCAUUAAUCAAGAACGAAAGUUGGGGGAUCGAAGACGAUCAGAUACCGUCGUAGUCUCAACCAUAAACUAUGCCGACUGGGAAUCGGGCGAUGUAUUUUUCGUGACUCGCUCGGCGCCCCG
rnacentral:sRNA from 1 species